rnacentral:snoRNA from 1 species
UGUAAAAAUGAUGUAAAAGAAUAUUUGCUAACUGAACAGCCGUGCUGACAUCCCACCAAGAUCACUGAUGCA